UGUUUUGUGGCCUAGUCGGUUAAAGCGCCGGUCUAGCGAAUACGGAGUCGUGGGUUCGAAUCCCACCAGAACGC
rnacentral:tRNA from 1 species